UACGUAGGAGGCGAGCGUUUGUCCGGAAUUACUGGGUGUAAAGCGCGUGUAGGCGGUGAGUUAAGUCUGUUGUGAAAGCGCCCGGCUCAACCGGGCAGAGUCAAUGGAAACUAGCGCACUGGAGGUCGGUAGAGGCGAGUGGAAUUCCCGGUGUAGUGGUGAAAUGCGUAGAGAUCGGGAGGAACACCAGUGGCGAAGGCGGCUCGCUGGGCCGGACCUGACGCUGAGACGCGAAGGCGUGGGGAGCGAACGGG
rnacentral:rRNA from 1 species